GCAAACUUGUGCGUGUCUUUGCAAAUGCUCUCUGAAGAAUGUGCACUUCAUACAUUUACUAAUGUAGCUAGCUAUCUAAGGUGUCUGUGAGUGAUGAGUUGUUCUCAGGACUCUGUGCCUUUGGCGCGGCCGGGCACAGAGAAGGUACUGGUGACUGAGCUGACUGGGUCAAGUCAGAUGAACUCAACCUCUGCUGCUUACGAGGACUCUGACAUGCUGGUGGAACUCUACCUCUCUCCAGAAAAGCUGGUGCCUACUUGCCCAAGUUGUUGCAGCUGUGGUAUUAACAACAGUAUGAUAACGUCAGUGAGGUGCUCUAUGUGGCCUAUACCAGUGUGUCGGACCUGAGUCAGGCGAGCAUGCUGGAGAAUCUACAGCUGUUGGACCUGGAAGGGAACGCUGUGGAUGACCUGGUGCAGGUGCAGUACCUGGGCCUGUGCUCCCAGCUCCGCACACUCACCCUGAAGGGAAACCCUGUCUGUAUGCGCCCCCACCCCAAUACCACACAGGUGUUUGCAUACACUCCUACACUCCUAACCCUCACCACAACCACAAUCAUGUGUAUUAUUGUAUACAUUACUGAAUCUGGAUUUUAGAUACUCAAGAUGUGUGCAUAUAUAUAUGUGUGUGUGUGUGUCCAGGCAUGGGGGUUGUGAGUGUUUGAGUCUGGUGAUGAGAUUAUCCGGAAUGACUGUACUACCAUGGCUCUGCAUGCUGAGCUCAGGCUGUGAGUCAUGCUCUCCCCAAUGUCUCCCAUAUGGGCCCAGAUGAUAAUGGCCAAAAUGCAGAGACUGUUUGGAGACAUGAAAGGCUGGCUGUGAUCUCAGGCUCCUGUAAGGGUGUCUGUCUGUCUGCAUCAGGCAGAACAGGGUGGGACUGGAGAGCAGGGGACAGGGAAUUGGUGUUCAGAGCAAAACAGGCUUUGCUUGUGUGAGUAGGGACGGUACAAGCUGUGGUAAAGUGGUCAUGGUUAGUAUAGACAUUGCUCAACUAGGCAGGGUGGAAAAUAUACUCUCUUGUCUGUAGGAAGGUUUUUAGCACGUGUUGAGAUGGGAAUGAGCCCAUAUUAAAGUGGUUUAUUAAGGUUUCACUAUAAUGACGUGAUGCAGUGUUGAAGUGGUAUGAAUGGACGAGUGAAUAUGUUAAUUUUUUACCCACCCAACCAGCAGCAGGAAUUAGGAAACUAGGGCAGUGAGGGAGGGAAAGCUGAUCUGAAUAUGCAUUAGGCUUGGUCCAAGCACUGAGAGAGGGGUCCUUGGGUUUGCUUUUUUUUUGUCGACUCUGGUUGUCUAUACCCUUGGUGGAGCACAGAAAGUGCAGCUCUCUCUUUCUUCUCUCUCCUCCCCCUUUGUCUCUCCUCUCUCUUAUCUCUCUCUCUCCCCCCUCCCUCUUUUUCUAUUGGUUGGUGAAGGGUGAGAGUACUCAGCUCUAAUUUGAUCUCUUAGCAGCAGCAUAGUGCCUUUACUGGUCUCUCUCCCUCCUCUCUGUCCUCUCAGUGCUGAUAAAGGACUAGACCACAGUACAAAGUGCAGAUUAUUGGCAUUAUUAGCACUUAGUUAUCGGCCCACUCAGAACCAUGUUCUUUGUUCCUUCUUUGAACAGAAGUUACACUCAUUGUGGCUUAAAGCUCUUCUAACAGGGCUAUGUUCUGUUACAGUAUGUUAUACUGGUGUUAUGGGGUAUGUUUGGCAUUGAAAGGCUAACUUUGAAAGGUUGGACUUUCCUUGGCCUUUAUCAACCAUUCAAAUCACAACCAGAGCACAACCUUGGACCCUUUAUGCAGUCACCUAUCAUACUUUAUCACCUGUGUAGUCCAGGGGUAGGGAACUCUGCUUCUCCAGGGCUGCACUGGAUGCAUUUAUUCAAACCCUGUUUUAACACACCUAACCUAAUUCAACCUGUCAUCUGCUUAUAUGGACCUCGAUUAGUUGAAUGAGUGCUGGGCUGAAACAAAAGCCUGCACCUACUGCAGCCCUCCAGGAUUAGAUUCCCCCCCACCCUUUGACUGGGCUGGUCUUGUGCAACGGAAAAUAGUUGGAGUGGAUCUGUUAGCGUCUAUUAUGUGCCGGCUCUCUUCCUCUUGUGUUUCUUCAUCCUGUCUUCUUCUCCUUUCCCUAGUCCGAGGAGGAGGAGGGUUACAGCUACUGGUUGGCGGUAAGGGAGCUCGUCCCACAGCUGCAGUACCUAGAUGACAUGUGUGCAGAGGAGUAGUCAGGGCCUGGCUGCAGCAGCUCCAUGAGGGAAGACUGGGCCCUUCUCAGAGAGUCCAUCAAAGACUGCAGAGACGGCACUGUGUGUGUGUGUGUGCGCACGUGCCUUUCUGCUUCCAUCAGGCCGUUAAUACUACUCUGCAUUAUACUCUUCUAUAUUUUCCCUCUUCCCUGUCUGGCCAUAGAGGAGAGAGCAGCCAGUGUGAUUGCCUACUCCAGACCCAGCUCUGGCCAGCGCCCAGCUAGCAGCCUCUCCAGUUCCCGUCCCUCCAGUCGACCGGUCACUGCCAGGCCCCUCUCAGCAGCCGGCUCCAGACCCCUUUCUGGGUUGUGACCCUUAUCAGCGGCUGGGUCCAGAGCCCUCUCUCCUUCCGGGUCCAGACCCAGUUCUGCUGAUGCAGAUCCAGCCUCUGUGGACCCAGACGCUAGCGUUCUGACGCACGGUGCAGGGAAGGUCUUGUUCUGUGGAAACCCUGUCCAGGCCAUCAGAGCCAGGCAACAGAAGAUGAGGACUGCAGCCCCCUCACCUGUGUCCACUCUGAGAGCCCCACCCCUCUAUGUUUUGGAGCACAUGUAUGACCUUUUGGAGCAGGAUGGACGCCAGCGCAGCGACGUGUUCUCUGAGGGGGGGGAGGAGCCGGGUCGAGUCACUGGGCAAACACUGGCCCGCCAGACUUAUCUUUCCAAUCCCCCU